rnacentral:rRNA from 1 species
CCCUUAGAUGUUCUGGGCUGCACGCGCGCUACACUGAUGCGCUCAACGAGUUUUAACCUUGCCUGGAAAGGUUGGGUAAUCUUUUUAAAACGCAUCGUGAUGGGGAUAGAUUAUUGCAAUUAUUAAUCUUCAACGAGGAAUGCCUAGUAAGCGCAAGUCAUCAGCUUGCGUUGAUUACGUCCCUGCCCUUUGUACACACCGCCCGUCGCUCCUACCGAUUGAAUGGUCCGGUGAAGCGUUUGGACUAUGGUUUUCUGAUGGUCCGCCGUUGGAUUACCGUGGGAAGUUCGUUAAACCUUAUCAUUUAGAGGAAGGAGAAGUCGUAACA